GUGCUCGCUUUGGCAGCACACAUACUAAAACUGGACUGAUACAGAGAAGAUUAGUGAGGCCCUCGCACAAGGAUGACAUGCAAAUUCGUGAAGCGUUCCGCAUUAAA